UCCUCCAAAGGGAAGAGGACAUUGGAAAAGCUCAUCUGCCAUGAGUCCUGAGCAUGCCUGCCCAUUCUGGCUGGAUGUGACAAGAAUACAGGGCCUAGAUUGUACAUUACAUAGGCAUUUCUCAGGGUUGUAUGUGCAGCAACAGGGGGAAGAACGGUGAGGCAAGAGAGACAUGGAGAAGGGAGGACUUUGAGGCACAGCUUUAUGGAAGUUCCAUCAGUACCACUUGCAUGUUUGUGGGAUGACUUGGCUGUGGAAGGUAUGGAGUAUGUAUCCCUGGGGAAGUGGCUCUUGUGGUCACUGGAACUGUGGACAUCAGCUGGGUGAAGACUGGGGGGUUGCUGGCAGACCUGAGCAAGGAGGACAGUUUUGCUCAUUUGGGAAAUGCAAUAAUUCAAGUGUUCAAGGGCACAAUCAUAUAGACUGAUCCUGUUCCAGGAAUGGCCAUGAAUCUGCCUGACCUUAAAGAUGUGGCCACAGCUAUGAAACCCCUGUGUCAUUUGAAAUCUGAGCCUUCCCUACUGGGGUCAUGAUGUGAGCACUACGGAGAGUGUAGCUAUAUGUAUCUGGGAAACGGGAAA